UCUCGUUGUUUUUCUUUUUUUCGUUAGGUUUAAUUUUAGUCUAUGGAUUCCGUAACAGUUUAAGGCAUGGAUCUUAGAUAGUUUCUUAGAUCGAUUUUUUCGUUAGGUUUUAGUUUUCUUGAUCGAUUUUUGCAUCCUGUCGAAGAUUAUUUUAUUUGUUUACACGUUUCAUUUUUUUACUGAAGACUCUCAGUGUCUCUAUAUAUCGGUUUCCUUGCUUAAGAAUUUACAAAAAAAAGGUCUGCCUGAUCGUUUUUUUGCUUCCUGAAGUUCUCUGUUUCUAGUUGUCUUAGACUCUUAGCUAGUGUGUAUUGGUUUGCUACUAACCAGGUGUUUUCCAUUCUUUGUGUCAUUGCUUUCAUGUUAUGCAACACAAAACUAAACGAUCUGGUAGCUUAUCUAUGUGUUUUGGUAAACAUAGUGAGAUCUUCCAUACUUACAGUAAAGAAAGAUGAUUUCAUCAUAAGAGAGUUCAUGUAAACUUAAAACUUUUCGUUUCUUUAAUCUAUGUUAACUUUGAUUAUUUUACGUUUUUAAGUUUUGUUGGAAACAUUACAAAACUUAAAAACAUCUUCCGCGACCAGCUUACCUCAUCUCGAAACAAUUGAGUUAGGAUUGGAUUUUCCUUUGAAUCAUCUAGCCAUCUAGGCUACACUCUGUUCUCUGUUUCUCGUUCUUUUGUGAGACAUUUGCUUCAUGUGUAGGCUUUUAUGAGUUUUCCCACACCUGGAGACUUCUCAUAAUUCUCUGAUUUUAAAUCCAUUACUCUAUUCAUAAACCAUCUGUGUUAGUUGUCUGCUGUGAACUGCAGUUUAUAAUCUCUAGCUCUUGUCAUUCAUCACCAAAUCACGUAAUAUCUAAAGUUUUUUCAUUUUUGUUCUAUGAGCACAACGACCAGGCGAUGAAUGACAGUGAAGAAGAUGAAGAUAAUCAAAACCACCACCAACACCAUGAUCAUGAUCAUAACCAUGAACACUUCGAAUCUGUCAAGGCCUCGUCUUCAAAUGAUUCUAAAGUUGAUGACUAGUCGAUCGGUUUUCGCCUCACUAUAUGACAUUGAAGCCUUUAGUGGAUCAGUGAAGAUAAUAACAAAACACAUUAGUUUUGAGAUUUUGGUUUCAAAUUUCUACUCUUCCCCUUACCUAAAAGGUUAAUUUGGCUUUAUAUAUGUACAUACAAUGUGUAGAUUGCACUACAAUUGAUCAUUGACCAAAUGUAUGAGAAAAGUCUUCAGUCA